rnacentral:tRNA from 1 species
GCGGACGUGGCGAAAUGGCAGGCGCAGCGGACUUAAAAUCCGCCGGGGCAUCCAGUGCGGGUUGAGUUCCGCCGUCCGCACCG